GCCUAGCUAGCUCAAUCGGCAGAGCGUGAGACUCUUAAUCUCAAGGUUGUGGGUUCGACCCCCACGUUGGGCU
rfam:Rhizoclosmatium globosum strain JEL800 BCR33scaffold_180, whole genome shotgun sequence.